rnacentral:rRNA from 1 species
UGAGUAACACGUGGGCAACCUGCCCUGUAGAUUGGGAUAACUCCGGGAAACCGGGGCUAAUACCGAAUAAUCCUUCGGACCUCAUGGUCCGAUGUUGAAAGGCGGCUUCGGCUGUCACUACAGGAUGGGCCCGCGGCGCAUUAGCUAGUUGGUGAGGUAACGGCUCACCAAGGCCACGAUGCGUAGCCGACCUGAGAGGGUGAUCGGCCACACUGGGACUGAGACACGGCCCAGACUCCUACGGGAGGCAGCAGUAGGGAAUCUUCCACAAUGGACGAAAGUCUGAUGGAGCAACGCCGCGUGAGUGAAGAAGGUUCUCGGAUCGUAAAACUCUGUUGUGAGGGAAGAACAAGUACCGGAGUAACUGCCGGUACCUUGACGGUACCUCAUUAGAAAGCCACGGCUAACUACGUGCCAGCAGCCGCGGUAAUACGUAGGUGGCAAGCGUUGUCCGGAAUCAUUGGGCGUAAAGCGCGCGCAGGCGGUCCCUUAAGUCUGAUGUGAAA